AAGGCUAAAACUCAAAGGAAUUGACGGGGGCCCGCACAAGCGGCGGAGCAUGUGGAUUAAUUCGAUGCAACGCGAAGAACCUUACCUGGGCUUGACAUACACCGGAUCGGGCUAGAGAUAGUCUUUCCCUUUGUGGCUGGUGUACAGGUGGUGCAUGGUUGUCGUCAGCUCGUGUCGUGAGAUGUUGGGUUAAGUCCCGCAACGAGCGCAACCCUUGUCUUAUGUUGCCAGCAUUUGGUUGGGGACUCAUGAGAGACUGCCGGGGUCAACUCGGAGGAAGGUGGGGAUGACGUCAAAUCAUCAUGCCCCUUAUGUCCAGGGCUUCACACAUGCUACAAUGGUCGGUACAACGCGCAGCGACACUGUGAGGUGGAGCGAAUCGCUGAAAGCCGGCCUUAGUUCGGAUUGGGGUCUGCAACUCGACCCCAUGAAGUCGGAGUCGCUAGUAAUCGCAGAUCAGCAACGCUGCGGUGAAUACGUUCCCGGGCCUUGUACACACCGCCCGUCACGUCAUGAAAGUUGGUAACACCCGAAGCCGGUGGCCCAAACUUGUUAGGGAGCCGUCGAAGGUGGGAUCGGCGAUUGGGACGAAGUCGUAACAAGGUACCCGUACCGGAAGGUGCGGGUGGAUCACCUCCUUU
rnacentral:rRNA from 1 species